AGUCUUCUCCUGGGGCUUUGGUAGCUAUGGCCAGCUGGGCCACGCAGAACAGAAGGAUGAGAUG
rnacentral:miRNA from 1 species